rnacentral:rRNA from 1 species
GAUGAACUCUGGCGGCGUGCCUAAUACAUGCAAGUCGAGCGAACGGACGAGAAGCUUGCUUCUCUGAUGUUAGCGGCGGACGGGUGGGUAACACGUGGAUAACCUACCUAUAAGACUGGGAUAACUUCGGGAAACCGGAGCUAAUACCGGAUAAUAUUUUGAACCGCAUGGUUCAAAAGUGAAAGACGGUCUUGCUGUCACUUAUAGAUGGAUCCGCGCUGCAUUAGCUAGUUGGUAAGGUAACGGCUUACCAAGGCAACGAUGCAUAGCCGACCUGAGAGGGUGAUCGGCCACACUGGAACUGAGACACGGUCCAGACUCCUACGGGAGGCAGCAGUAGGGAAUCUUCCGCAAUGGGCGAAAGCCUGACGGAGCAACGCCGCGUGAGUGAUGAAGGUCUUCGGAUCGUAAAACUCUGUUAUUAGGGAAGAACAUAUGUGUAAGUAACUGUGCACAUCUUGACGGUACCUAAUCAGAAAGCCACGGCUAACUACGUGCCAGCAGCCGCGGUAAUACGUAGGUGGCAAGCGUUAUCCGGAAUUAUUGGGCGUAAAGCGCGCGUAGGCGGUUUUUUAAGUCUGAUGUGAAAGCCCACGGCUCAACCGUGGAGGGUCAUUGGAAACUGGAAAACUUGAGUGCAGAAGAGGAAAGUGGAAUUCCAUGUGUAGCGGUGAAAUGCGCAGAGAUAUGGAGGAACACCAGUGGCGAAGGCGACUUUCUGGUCUGUAACUGACGCUGAUGUGCGAAAGCGUGGGGAUCAAACAGGAUUAGAUACCCUGGUAGUCCACGCCGUAAACGAUGAGUGCUAAGUGUUAGGGGGUUUCCGCCCCUUAGUGCUGCAGCUAACGCAUUAAGCACUCCGCCUGGGGAGUACGACCGCAAGGUUGAAACUCAAAGGAAUUGACGGGGACCCGCACAAGCGGUGGAGCAUGUGGUUUAAUUCGAAGCAACGCGAAGAACCUUACCAAAUCUUGACAUCCUUUGACAACUCUAGAGAUAGAGCCUUCCCCUUCGGGGGACAAAGUGACAGGUGGUGCAUGGUUGUCGUCAGCUCGUGUCGUGAGAUGUUGGGUUAAGUCCCGCAACGAGCGCAACCCUUAAGCUUAGUUGCCAUCAUUAAGUUGGGCACUCUAAGUUGACUGCCGGUGACAAACCGGAGGAAGGUGGGGAUGACGUCAAAUCAUCAUGCCCCUUAUGAUUUGGGCUACACACGUGCUACAAUGGACAAUACAAAGGGCAGCGAAACCGCGAGGUCAAGCAAAUCCCAUAAAGUUGUUCUCAGUUCGGAUUGUAGUCUGCAACUCGACUACAUGAAGCUGGAAUCGCUAGUAAUCGUAGAUCAGCAUGCUACGGUGAAUACGUUCCCGGGUCU